rnacentral:lncRNA from 1 species
GUUACAAUAAACAGGCACAAGAUGAUUAUGAACACACAGUCCGGACCUCGGUAUUUACAGACAACAGACACCACCUCGGUUCCUUUGAGAGACCUCCUGGCCAUGAUGUGUCAUGCAUGCAUUUCAGAAGACUGAUGGUCAAAGAGCGAGUCCUGCUGUGAUUUCAAAUGGCAGUCUCAGGAAGGGCUGGGAUUCAAAGACGGGAGCCCAGUUUUGAGAUAUCAGACUCCUUACUCAGGAAAUUUAACCUCCUUGGCCUGUUCUUCAAAACUUCUUGGUUUCUGGAAUCUCCCUGAAAUCUGUGGAAGCCACAGGCUGCUAGACACAUGUGCAUAGCAAAUGGAAUCUGAACUUAGCUUAACAGCCUCAUUUAUUCCUGAUGGUUUAAAUUAUUUCAUCACAAUUAAUGACACCCCCUCAGCUUCCUGUGCAGCGCUGCCAGAUGUUCAGAGACCACAAAGCCACUCUCUUCUUUGACGGCUAGUGACAAGUCGUCCUCUGAAGGACGUUCCCUCAGUACACAGGCCGGAUGACACCUCCACUGCUUAGCACCUCUCCACCUCCCUGGGUAACCAUGGUGAGAGAAGGAGGAAGACAUGAGAAACCAGCCCGUGCAUUAGUAAGGACAAAUUAUGUGAAGCGUUCUGGACUUGAAGGAUCUCAUCUCCUCCUACCGGAUUUUCCAACCUGACUGUUUUAUAAAAAAGACAGACAACUGUUUGCCUCGACAUUCAAGGUGUUAAGCUUUCUAUGCUUCAUUAAAAAUAACCUGUCCUUCCUUACAAGGGGAAAGAAAAACAAAACCAAAAAAACGCGGGGGGGCAUGAAGCGAAAAAUACAAAUUGCAGCCACGUGGGAAGCCCUUACUUGGAAUACUAUCUCACUACUCCAUCAUCUUCAAAAGCAGAAUGCAACAAAUCCUAAGUCUUAGAAAUGCUGUGCUCACAUUCAGCUUAUUUUAUUCUUAUUUGUUGCUGUUGUCUUCCUGUCAGAGGAAGCAGAUUUUCCCUUACAGCGCUCCUCUCACAGUACUUAGGUAUUCUUCAGGACAGGAGGAAUGCAGGUAAUUUAAGUGAAAAAAAGUUGUGAGCAUGGAUAUCACUCUGAAAAUGAGAAGAUAGGCUCUGUCUCUAAAAAGAGGUAAGUGAAAAGUGUAACGAAAGUGUAGCUCAUGCAACUGCAGCCCUGGAUAAGAAAACAGCAAGUGUCUUGCAUUUUUUAAGAUUAAAAAGCAAGCAUCUAUGCUCCUGAAAUUCCAUCCACUAUUUCAAGCACAUAUGGCAGACAUUCUAUCGAG